AUGCAUAAGUCAAAGGUCUGGAAGCUUGUGGAAAUAACUGAUACAGCUCAGUGCAGAUCAUUAAAACUGGGUGAUAGUAUUAGCACAGCUAAGGUGCGGAAACUGCCUUUGGUGACCGAGCUCACUGGAGGCCUCCAAAUUCAAAAUUCAAUUUUCAUUGAAAUUCAUAUUUUUACAUUUCAAAAAAAUCUGAAAAAAAGUACAUAUAUACAUGAAGGCAUAACACAUAUGUGUGUAAAUUUUCAGGGCAAAAUACGUUGA
rnacentral:rRNA from 1 species